AAUUUUUGGUAUUUAUUGAUUCUUGUUAUGGGCCUAACCUCAGCCUAUAUCUGUCUAUCUAACCUAUCUAUCUAUCUAUCUACCUACCUAUCUAUCUAUCUAUCUAUCAUCUAUCUACCUAGAUAGACAGAGAUAUCUAUAGAUAGCUAUGGUAAAUUUUGAAACACGUUCCAAAUACAUUAUAAUAAAUUGUGUGUUUUGCUAUUUUUGGGUG
rnacentral:lncRNA from 1 species